rnacentral:rRNA from 1 species
UACGUAGGCAGCAAGCGUUUGUUCGGAGUUACUGGGCGUAAAGGGUGCGUAGGCGGUCCUAUAAGUAUGGUGUGAAAUCUCCCGGCUUAACUGGGAGGUGCGCUAUAGACUGUGGGACUAGAGUGUGGGAGAGGAAAGUGGAAUUCCUGAUGUAGCGGUGAAAUGCGUAGAUAUCAGGAGGAACACCGGUGGUGUAAACGGCUUUCUGGACCAUAACUGACGCUGGAGGCACGAAAGCGUGGGUAGCAAACAGG